UCCCUGCUAACUCAGAUGGUAAAGAAUCUGCUUGCAAAGCAGGACACCCAAGUUCAGUCCCUGGGUAGGGAA
rnacentral:tRNA from 1 species